rnacentral:rRNA from 1 species
CAGCCGCCGCGGUAAUACGUAGGGUGCAAGCGUUAAUCGGAAUUACUGGGCGUAAAGCGUGCGCAGGCGGUCCGCUAAGACAGAUGUGAAAUCCCCGGGCUUAACCUGGGAACUGCAUUUGUGACUGGCGGGCUAGAGUAUGGCAGAGGGGGGUAGAAUUCCACGUGUAGCAGUGAAAUGCGUAGAGACGUGGAGGAAUACCGAUGGCGAAGGCAGCCCCCUGGGCCAAUACUGACGCUCAUGCACGAAAGCGUGGGGAGCAAACAGGAUUAGAUACCCCUGUAGUCCCUGUCUCUUAUAC